rnacentral:rRNA from 1 species
GACGAACGCUGGCGGCGUGCCUAAUACAUGCAAGUAGAACGCACAGUUUAUACCGUAGCUUGCUACACCAUAGACUGUGAGUUGCGAACGGGUGAGUAACGCGUAGGUAACCUGCCUGGUAGCGGGGGAUAACUAUUGGAAACGAUAGCUAAUACCGCAUAAUAUUGAUUAUUGCAUGAUAAUUGAUUGAAAGAUGCUAUUGCAUCACUACCAGAUGGACCUGCGUUGUAUUAGCUAGUAGGUGAGGUAACGGCUCACCUAGGCGACGAUACAUAGCCGACCUGAGAGGGUGAUCGGCCACACUGGGACUGCGACACGGCCCAGACUCCUACGGGAGGCAGCAGUAGGGAAUCUUCGGCAAUGGACGAAAGUUUGACCGAGCAACGCCGCGUGAGUGAAGAAGGUUUUCGGAUCGUAAAGCUCUGUUGUAAGAGAAGAACGGGUGUGAGAGUGGAAAGUUCACACUGUGACGGUAUCUUACCAGAAAGGGACGGCUAACUACGUG